UACGGGGGGGGCAAGCGUUGUUCGGAAUUACUGGGCGUAAAGGGCUCGUAGGUGGCCAACUAAGUCAUACGUGAAAUCCCUCGGCUUAACCGGGGAACUGCGUCUGAUACUGGAUGGCUUGAGGUUGGGAGAGGGAUGCGGAAUUCCAGGUGUAGCGGUGAAAUGCGUAGAUAUCAGGAGGAACACCGGUGGCGAAGGCGGUUCUCUGGGCAUGUCCUGACGCUGAGGAGCGAAAGUGUGGGGAGCGAACAGG
rnacentral:rRNA from 1 species